UAGCUCAAUCGGUAGAGCGCUUGACUACCAGUCAGGCGGUUGCUAGUUCGAGCCUGGU
rnacentral:tRNA from 1 species